rnacentral:rRNA from 1 species
AAUAUGGGACAACAGGGGCAACCCUAAUCCAGCCAUGCAGUGUGUGGGAAGAAUGUCUUCGGUUUGUAAAGAACUUUAAGUUGGGAGGAGGGGCUUUAGAUUAUUACCCUGAAGUUUUGACGUUACCAACAGAAUAAGCACCGGCUCACUCUGUGACAGCAGCCGCGGUCAUACAGAGGGUGCAAGUGUUAAUCGGAAUGACGGGGAGUAAAGCGCGCGUAGGUGGUUCAGUAAGAUGGGUGUGAAAUCCCCGGGCUUAACCUGGGAACUGCUUUAAUAACUGCUGAGCUAGAGUACGGUAGGGGGUAGUGGAAUUACCUGUGUAGCGGUGAAAUGCGUAGAUAUAGGAAGGAACACCAGUGGCGAAGGCGACUACCUGGACUGAUACUGACACUGAGGUGCGAAAGCGUGGGGAGCAAAC